AUUCCAUAAUGUGUACAUCUCCGUUGAAGGUCCUUGUAUCUCUCCAAUGCUUCAUAAAGGCUUUCAUCAUCCCUAGGUCAAAAGGAAAUCAGCUUAUUCCUUAGUUU